rnacentral:RNase_P_RNA from 3 species
AGAGUUUAGGUUUUCCACUGCGAGGUGGUGGGGGGAGGAAAGUCCGAGCACCAUCCAAGCGAUUGGUUCCAAGGAUAAUCGCUAACGGCGAUCGGGAGCAGCUGAAACGCGCUGAAGCAAUUCGGCGCGGGCAUUCAGCGAAGCCCAGGGAAAGUGCAACAGAGACGAUACUAGCCCAUUGCUUCGCACUGGGAAGCUCUAAAUCCGAAAUCCUAAUUUCUCAAUCAAUGAGUUUAGUGCUUAGGGUUUAGAAUUUCCACUGCGGAGCAGUGAGUCAAAGGUGAAACGUGUUCUGGUGUGUUGCGGGAAAGCAAUUUCUCCGCCGCGCUACAGAACUCCGCGCAUGGCGACAUGCGCCGGUUGCAAACCCUAUCCGGUGAAAGGAGCAAACCUCCGUGGCAGUUCCGCAGCAAUGCGGAGCGCAGAUAGAUGGCCUUAUCUCGCUUCCCACCUUACCGGUGGACGGCGGGCACAGAACUCGGCUUACCACCCUUCCU